GCUAUUUAGGUUAGAGUUUGAUCAUGGCUCAGGACGAACGCUGGCGGCGUGCCUAACACAUGCAAGUUGAGCGACGAACCGGGGCUUGCCCCGGGGCAAAGCAGCGAACGGGUGAGUAACACGUGGGCAACCUGCCCCGAAGACCGGGACAACCCGAGGAAACUCGGGCUAAUACCGGAUGUGCUCUGCGAGCAUCAGCCCGCAUAGCAAAGGAAGCUUCGGCCUCCGCUUCGGGAGGGGCCCGCGGCCCAUUAGCUUGUUGGUGAGGUAACGGCUCACCAAGGCUGCGAUGGGUAGCUGGUCUGAGAGGACGAUCAGCCACACUGGGACUGAGACACGGCCCAGACUCCUACGGGAGGCAGCAGUGGGGAAUCUUGCGCAAUGCGCGAAAGCGUGACGCAGCAACGCCGCGUGAGGGAAGAAGGCCUUCGGGUUGUAAACCUCUUUCAGGAGGGACGAAGGUUCAGGCGCGAAUAGCGACCUGGACUGACGGUACCUCCAGAAGAAGCCCCGGCUAACUACGUGCCAGCAGCCGCGGUAAUCGCC
rnacentral:rRNA from 1 species